CAACAUUUAUCCAAAUCACACAAGUUUACAUAUUAUCUUAUAGUUAGGUUCCUAUAACCUAUUAAUAAAUACAAUUUCAAAUGUAGUUAUUUUUUUGUAAUAUAUAAAUUUUAGAUACCUACUCAUGGGUACCUACUUGGAACUUUAGAAGUAGAUCUUAUGUCCUGUCCACAAAGGACAAAACCAAACAUAUAAUCUCAACUUUUCCCAACACAUGGACAAUAUCUAAAUUAUUUUUAAAAACAGAAGCAAAACAAAAAUCAUACUCUGUAUUGACCUGGCAUUAGGAGUUGUAUUAUAAAUAUUUAAUAAAUCGAUGCUGAGAACUAAGAAUCUAAGAAGUAAGAACUCAAAAUCAAAUCAUCAAAUCAAACAUUGAGGUGCGUUACCUAAAACCUAAACAUGGCGGACGUUAGUGGAACACAAAGUGAUCAUUUUAUAUUAGUCUAUUGACUUGAAAAAGUUAAGUGCGAUUUCAGUAGAAAAUUAGUGUAUGAUUUUAUUGAAAAUUAAUAUGCCUUAUGCCGUAUUAUACCUACCGCUGUUACUAUUUAGUAUUUUAUA